rnacentral:lncRNA from 1 species
GAUUUAUUGUUCCUGGUUGUGUACCAUUAGACAGAAGUGAUGGGAUCAAUAAAACUUGGAAUUGUCUAACAAGAAAGGGCCAGUUUCUUGCUUAUUAUAUUUGUAAUAACAGAGUCCAUUGGGUAGCACUCCGGUCUGUGAAAGUCAGUGAAUCAAUAAUGCUCUUGUGGUCUGGAUAAUAAUAUACCUUGGCAUGGUGUGAGUGAUGCCAGCAGGUGGGCGGAGAGGCAGGGAAGGAAAGGUCUCAUGCCUUUCAGGUUGACACUAAGAAAGAGGCUUCCAUUCCUUUCCCUGUUCUACCACAUUCUCCUAAUGUGUAUAAGAAAUUAUUCAAAGACAGCAACAGAUUUCCCUCCUGACCUUUAUAGUUGCUGGUUUGGAAUGAUUUUUGGCUGCUUGCUGGAAAAAAAAAUUAUUGCAGAGAUGAAUUGUCAGGACAUCCGCUCCCCUUCCCAUCAGCUUUAUAAACAUUUUGUACUGGAGGCAGUGUGUGUGUGCAGAAGAAACGCUAUGGAAAGUGCUGUAGAAACAAGUGUGGUUUGUUGGCUACCAAAUCUCAAGGCUAUGCUCACUGGUCAGAAUGGUUGGUGUCCAGACCCCCAGCCCCUCAGAUUCUGAGAUGUCUGUGUACCAGGGUAGCACCAGGGAUGGGUUUUCUCUGAGACUGUCUUUUCAUGAUACAGUGUAAAAUGUUUCCCAUGAAAGGGCAGAGCUGAAGAAGCAGUGCAAGUCCAUUUGAAGACCUCUGGAAGGAAACCCCCAGCGGCUCUUUUUUCACUGAACAAGCAUUGUGGGAAUUUGGGGCUCGGCUGUGUAAUUUGUCCUCUUCUCAUUCAUUCAGGACAUGUUCAGCACCAGGAGGAAUUUGCAUCCAAGUCCGUCUCCCUGCUAAGUGGUAUUUUGAGAAUUCCGAAGCUUAGUCUCAGAGAAGAGCUGACCUGAACUUGCCGAGGCUCCCACUGCAUUGUAGCUUUUCUCUGGAGAACAAAAACUGCCAUUGUCCAGCAGCUCAUUAGCAUGACUGUACAGCCUCCGGAGUUAGCAAGGUGAUGCAAAAAUAAUAUGACAAGAUCCAUGUCUUCAAUGAGCUACAAUCCUACUGGGACAUGAGACUGUGCUUAUAAUAUGAUGAAAGAAUAAGAAAAUUUUAAAGGUGAGAAAAGAAGAUUUUGUCUUCCUUUCAUUCCCUUAGUAUUGAUAGGUGGGACUAAAUAGCCACUUUUCAUGACAAUAACAGCUAUAACAGGCAGAGCACAAGAACAAGCAGAGCUAUAACAAGCAGAGCACAAGAAGGAAGAGUGCAGAUCCAGGACUGGGACACUUAACCAAUAAUAAUACAAAUAGUGAGUACUGUUAGUUGAUUUUCCAGGCUCCUCUUCUCACUUGUAAUGGAAUUACAAAUUAUUUUGUUGGUCAUUGACACUAACCCCAGAUUCAGAAGGAGAUUUGAUUAGAGUAGUGUGAGUAUAAUCUCAUUGCUACUUCCAUAGCAAUUGGUUUGGGGUGAAUACUGUUGGGUGACAGCAGAGGGAGAUUAUUUCAUUUCCUGUGAUCUGUGUUCAAGGAAUUAUGGUGUUUUAAUUGCUGCUAGUAGCACUUUACUUUAGGAUGAAACCUGGUACAUACAUGUAAAGCACUUUAAACAGUUCCUGGUGCAAAGUAAAUGCUUAACAUGUGUUCUUUAUUGCUAUGGUUUGAAUGUAUGUGCCCCUCCAAAAUUCAUUUGUUGGAACUUAAACCCCAAGGUGAUGGUAUUAAGAGAUGGAGCCUUUGGAAGGUGACUGAGCCAUAAGCGCUCUGCCCUCAUUGAUGGGAUUAGUGCCCUCAUAAAAGAGCUUGAGGAGCUAGUUCUCCCUUUUUGUCCUUUUGCCCUUCCUCUCUUUCUACCAGAUGAAAACACAGCAGCAACAGGUGCCAUUUUGGAAGCAAGAAGCAGAGAACAAGCUCUCACUGGGCAUUAAAUCUGCCGGCAUCUUGAUCUUGAACUUCUCAACCUCCAGAACUCUGAGAAAUAAAUUUCUAUUAUUUACAAAUUACCCAGUCUAAGGUGUUUUGUUAUAGCAGCUCAAACAAAUUAAGAUAUCUGUUUAUUGCUUUUGGUAUGUGUUUGUGUUUUAAUUUUCUUGGAAGGUAGAGCAGAGAGACAAAAAUCACCAAAUUUUGGUGACAUGGUUGAAGCUCUGGGUCAAACCAAUCUUUGAGUCCAGCCUCUGAACCUCGCAUUAAAGUCCUUUAUAGUUUAGAUUGGUUAGGAUUAGGUCUCUUGAUGUUUGUUUUCACCUUGAGGGUUCCUAACUGCUACGGGGAGUCAGUGUGAUUUAACUCUAAGUGAAGAAGAACAGUUUAGAGGGAUGAUCCUGCACAUCUGCAUGGUGAUUGAAUUUAUGUCUCCUAUAAUUGUAUAUACAAAAUGAAAGUUUGGACUCUACAGGACAGGAGACUUUCCCCAACUUCUACCCUCCUUUAUCUUUUGCUGAUUAGUAUUGCAACAGGCACCUAACCAAACUCUCUGGCUCUGGGCCUGUGCUGUGUCUUCUAAUCUUCACACAGCUGCCAGCAUUAUCUUUAAAAGACAGAUCUUAUUA